UCCGGCUUAUCACCGGCAGUUUCCUCAGAGUUCUCAGCUUGACCUGUUAGCAACAGAGGACGAGGGUUGCGCUCGUUGCGGGACUUAACCCAACAUCUCACGACACGAGCUGACGACAGCCAUGCAGCACCUGUGCUCCCCCCACCCGAAGUGAAGGACUCUCUUUCAAGCGUCCAUAGGGGGCAUGUCGAAUCCUGGUAAGGUUCUUCGCGUUGCCUCGAAUUAAACCACAUGUUCCACCGCUUGUGCGGGUCCCCGUCAAUUUCUUUGAGUUUUAAUCUUGCGACCGUACUCCCCAGGCGGGGUGCUUAACGCGUUAGCUGCGCUACUCAGGGGGAACCCCCGAACAGCUAGCACCCAUCGUUUACAGCGUGGACUAC
rnacentral:misc_RNA from 1 species